UGUGUGUGUGUGUGUGUGUGUGUGUGCCCGUCCGUCCGUCCGUCCGUCCGUCCGUCCGUCCUGCUUUGACAGUGAUAAUGUUCAUACGGGGGUCUGUGUGAUUGGCUUGGGAUAUUGGAAUGGUCAACUAAAUCAUACCUGAUGGACGGCCCACGCUUACUUAAAGGCCUCCAGUAGACAUGAAGAGCCCUGAGCGACGCUCCGGAGUGAGAUCCAACACACUGGGCAGGAAGGAGAGUAUCCAACUUGAGUGUAAAAGGAUGCAAGCGGCGUGUUCAGAUCAGUGACUUCAAACUAGGACUACACCAAUCAGGAUCAAUGGAGGAUGGACACCAAAAGGAAUUCCACAAGGAGAGUGAUGUUGGAAAGGGACCUAAAUGGAUAUUCAAGAUGACCUUCAGACCUGUAAUGAGACGGCUCUUCCUACCUGGCUGGAUUGAUGGAGAGCCCUGUAGAUCUUGUCUUGCUCUCAGUUGCACGUCUUCUCAGGCUGAACUGUAUUUGUUUCGGACAGGACUAGCUGAACGAUUGGUUCCCUUAAAUCAGAACCAAUCCGGGAACUCCAGCUAGUGCGCUCUUCGAGCUGAAGUUGUGCUCUUCAGCUGAGGAGGUAAGGAAACCUUCACUGGGGCUUCAAGAUGUAAAGAGGAGAAUGUUUCAAAGUGUUCCAUGGUACUCUGAUGAAGACCGUUGUUGUGUUCCACUGGCUGAGAGGAAGAACCCACACAUCUUCCUCUUGGCCUUUCUCCUCUGAGAAUCCUGGCGCCAUCUUGAAGGAUAUUCCAGCUCAUGUAACUGAUGUCACGACAGAUUCUCAAACACUUGGUCUCUCCUGAGGGGCGUGUCUAUGGAACUGAAGACUUCAGACAGCACUGUAUCCCAACAUGCAUCUCUGCUCACUCAGACCACACCCCCAUGAGUAGGAUGCAACACUCUAUUGAUGGAGAUGUAGAGUUUUAUAAGUAACGAGGGAGCAGACUAAGGUGAUUAGACUGUAAAGCUUUAAACCAUGAAGAUGGUUGGAUAGUUCAGGAAUUGGGCUUCUUUUUAUUAUGGGCAGUCCUUUCACUCAGAUGCCCACUUCUCACUGGAGCUUUACAUGUGUUGGCUGGCUGGCAUGAUUUGCUGUUGGUGGUCAGGGUGACAUUGCAGGGCUAUGGUCGGCUCUCUGUGAGGUCAAUGUUUAGAUUUGCUCUGUAUGGUUUGUACCCUGAAUAAUCUAGAUAAUUGUAAAAUGUAGACAGUUUUGUAUUGAAUGAUUUUAGGUUUAAAGUUGUUGUGGGACGUACAUGGUAGUUUGGUUCUUCGUACGGUUUUGAGUGAUAUAACUUGUACACACUGGGUGCAUAAUAAUGUAAAGAUACACUGAAUAGUAGUAAUGACCAACAGCAACAAACUGAUCACCUCAAGGUAAGUCUGUUGGCUGUAUUUUAAUGAAGAACAUCGCUGGACUUCAGGAUCUUCCUUCGUUCAGCUCAAGGUGAGGCGCUGGUUCUGUUUUUUCUUUGGUUGGUUCCGGCCGGAAUGUUCGGAUUCCGGUCGGACGGUUUGUGCUUCCCGCCGUGGAAGGUUCUGAGUGCGGUCACUUGAUUUAGUCCCAAUGGUUAGCUUAGAACGUUGUAGUCUUGACAACCAUAAGAAACCACCAGGCAGUUAGUUGGACGGGAGUCCCCUGAGGGAAUCUGGCGGAACGUUCUGGAUUGUAUUUGCGUAACCUCGAGCCGUUGCCAACGGAAACAAUUUUUCAGUCGGUUUCCAUUGGGAAUUGUUGCCCCUAUCUUAAACAACUCAAGUUUGAUAUUAAAUACAUACUGACACGUACGUCGUACAAUAUUUUGAUAAUUUCCGAUGGUUGCGCCGUACUUUAAACCACGAUGACGUUGCGGGACUCUCACUGCGUACAAAACAGCGUUCUACUUGCGGGCCCAUUUCUGACCAUCGGUGAAGGCUGAAAAUCAUUUCAAGGUGGAAGAUAAUUUGACAUUUCUUCAACGGAACCCGGCACCUGAAUAUGGCUGAGUAUAUUUGAUUUAAUAUCGAUACUGCUUAGUGUUCUUUGUUACUUCAGCUAUUGUACGUUCUAAAUAUCUGCUGUCAUUAAUUGCCACAGAAGUUAAACCCUACCCAAUGGAAUGACGUUAAACAACGACUUUGGUGCCGAGUUACCAACUGGAUAAUAUAAAAGCUAAAAUAAUGGCCGUCAUUCCCACAUGUUACAGUAGAAGAUACUCUAGAACUGUACAUGGUUAAAAAGGUAACAUGUAGUUGGUCCCAAGGUGUCUGCCUCCUCACCCAGAGCAAGACCUCCACCUCCUCACCCAGAGCCAGACCUCCACCUCCUGUCAGAAGUCCUCCAGAACAGCUGAAAGGCGAGGCUGGGGACCGGAGGCUUGUGGUGCCAGGUCUGGACCGGAGACUGAGGCUGGAGACCAGGGGCCUGCAGCACCGGACCAGAGGGUAACCAUCACCAAGCUCAUCUGAAACACUAAAAUCCACGACCAGGAAUCCAUGGCUGAAGGAGCUGAUGGAGGAGCCGUGAUGAAGGAGCUGAUGGAGGAGCCGUGCUGAAGGCCCUGGGCUGGUGGAGGAGCUGGUGGAGGGCCUGCCUGGUGAAUGACGUCUGUCGUGGGACCAGGACUCUGUCUGAGGAGAGCUGCUGGAGGAGCUGAGAUGCGGGAGGACGACUAGGAAUCGACCAACAAGGAUUCCUCAACGUGUUUCUGGAGCGGAGGCGAGCUGGUAGGGGAGCCGUGAAUCUGGAGGAUGACCAUCACUCUACCAACAAGGAUUACUUUAGGGCCAGACUCGCACUGUUUGUUCCAGACCAGGACUCUGGCUGAGGAGAGCUGAUGGAGGAGCCAAGACUCUGGAGGACGGAACACGGAACACUCCACCAACCAGGAUCCUCACCAGGAAUCUGGAGGACUGAUGGAGAAGCCAUACAUCUGGAAGGCAAAUCCUGAGGACCACCAGGACUCUACCAUCAAGGAUUCCUCAUAAAUGUGCAUUAUCUGGACAUAAUGGACUAGACACACCAGAGCUGAACCUCACCUGAUCCUGUUUGGUCGGGGGGUAGACACACCUGCGCUAAACCCGCCCUGAUCCUGACAUCCUGCUAAUCCCGUCUCCUCAGUUCAUCUGAGCCUCGUCCUCCAGAAGACCUGCUGAGCUCAGCAGUCUGAGGCUGAUGGAUCAAUGACCUCCAGUGGGAGUGAUCUUCUUGACCCCACAUGUAACUGUGUGCUUCCACACGCCUUUCCCUCACGUCUGUCACUAACCUCACUACUUCACUACUCUCUACUGCUUCCUCUUUCCUUCCUUCUCUGUGGUUCAAACCUUGACACUAAAGGCGUGUCUUCCUGCCCUCAGAGGGUUUAGCGUUAGGGUUGAGAGUCAGGGUUUAGAGUCAGGGACAGAUCUGGUCAGGGAGGACUGCUUUUACGCAAACCUCUUCACUUGCUUUCGGAAUGGUGGUGACAUUUUGAAAAGAUUCAUUUGGGAAAAUAUUUUCCUCUGCUUUCCUUUACAAAAUUGUAUUAAACUUCUGUCAAGUGUUUUUGUUUAUGUAUUAAAAUCCCACAUUGACUUCUACAUGUUUGUUG